rnacentral:tRNA from 1 species
AGGAUAAUAGUUAAAUUAACAUUUAAUUUGCAUUUAAAAAAUACUGUUUUACAGUUUAUCUU